GAUAACUUAAGCUCGUUAAAUUUAACUGCUACAACUAAAGUCAUUUAUUAACUUUAAGUUAUGAAUUAAGUUUUCCUAUAAAUAGGUGUAUGUUCUCUUCUCUCUUAUAAUAUAAUAACACAAAAUACUAAGAAGAAAAAGUUUAGAGAGAGUUUUAAAGUAAAAAAAAUGUGUUUUUUGUGGAUCUUUGGAUUCAACUACUAGUGCAGAGUUGAUUUGAAUCAGACGAUGAAAUUGUCGGGCUGUUGUAUCCUUGAGGAGAUAAGUCAAUAUAAUGUCUACUUCAUCAGUUUGUGGGCAUUGCCUGCAGAGAGUUUGAAAUUCCUUAAAGAGAGCGAGAUAUCUGUACAUUUGUCUGAUCAGUCUCGUUAAUUU
rnacentral:misc_RNA from 1 species